ACCUGGCUAGCUCGGUUGGUAGAGCAUGUGACUCUUAAUCUCAGUGUCGUGAGUUUGAGCCCCACGUUGGGUG
rnacentral:tRNA from 2 species